AAAAAAGGAAAUAGAGAGAAUCUGUUUGGCUUCAUUAACCAUUAUCCUGAAUAGAGGGCCUCUUUUAGGCAGGUAUUUCAGGCUCAGCCAGCUCAUUGGCUGGCGCCAUUCCUGUUCCAGUCAGCCAUGGCCAGUGGAUAGAAACACACACUACAGAACAUGGCAGCCACGCUGAGGAAGUACCUUUCACCAUGUGGUAGACACUCAGAGACUGCUCUGAAAAGGGAUCUCUGGAGCCAGAAUGGCCCCCCAGAGCUGUUCUCAGUUGACCCAAGAUGACCAGUCCUUUAUGUUCCUGCAUCAUUUGGUGAUCACAUAGAGAAGAGAAAGAAAGAGAACUCCUUGAACUUGAAAACAGACCAUCAAUGGAUACAGGUUAAGAUUAAGCUGUUUCUUUCAUGUGAGUCUCAUCACUGAGAUCUGAUUCCACCUACAAAGGUUGCCUCUAGGGCUUUAGAUUGAGAUGUUAUCAUGGACUGAACUGUGUCCCUGCAAAAUUCAUACGUUGAAGCCCCAGCUCCCAGUGUGGCUGUAGUUGGAGAUAAGACUUUUUUAAGGAGGUAAUCAAGCUUAAAUGAAGUCAUAAAGGUGGAGCUCUAAUCCAACAGGGUCGAUGCCCUCAUAAGAAGAGGAAGAGACAUCAAGAGUGCACAUGCACAGAGAAAAGGCCAUGUGAAGUCACAAGAAGAUGGCUGUCUGCAGGCAAAGGGGAGAGGCCUCACCAGAGACUAAUCCUGCCAGCACCAUAAUCUUCAACUUCCAGUCUCCAGAACUUUAAGAAAAUAAAUUUAUGUUGUUUGAGCCCAUCAAUCUUGUACUUUGUUGUAGUAGCCUGAGCAGAGGAAUUCAUCUGGAUUGACUUCUUGUUGGUCUGGUGUUUAUUGUAUUCUGCCUGAAAUGGGUUGCAGACUUACCAAAUGUGACAGAUCUUGUACCAUGUACAUGUACACAGCUAAGUGUUCUUGAGAGGGCACUUUCUAAAAGACUUUAUACUCAGCUUAUUAGAGAGGAU
rnacentral:lncRNA from 10 species